CAAGAGCGUAUGUAAAAGUUGUUGUAGUUAAAAAGCUCGUAGUUGAACCUUGGGUUUGGUUGGCCGGUCCGCUUUUUUGCGAGUACUGGAUUCAACCGAGCCUUUCCUUCUGGCUAACCAGUCGUUUCGGCGGCUGGCGAACCAGGAUUUUUACUUUGAGAAAAUUAGAGUGUUCAAAGCAGGCAUUAGCUUGAAUAUAUUAGCAUGGAAUAAUAGAAUAGGACGUUAUGGUUCUAUUUUGUUGGUUUCUAGGACCAUCGUAAUGAUUAAUAGGGACGGUCGGGGGCAUCAGUAUUCAGUUGUCAGAGGUGAAAUUCUUGGAUUUACUGAAGACUAACUACUGCGAAAGCAUUUGCCAAGGACGUUUUCAUUAA
rnacentral:rRNA from 1 species